AGGAGGAGGAGGAGAGGAGGAGAGGAGGUGCCCUGACGGCUGGUACAUCAGCUCCACUCAGUGCUGCGGCUGCUCUACAGGAGGAGAAACACACAGAAGCCGAGCUGCUCUUUUAGCUUCCACACUGUGUGCGUUUUGCAUACAAAUCCAACAUGAACUCUGCAUGCCAACACUGAGUACAGAUAAAGUCUCUACGAUGCUUCGUCACCUUCUUCUUCUCCUUGCUGGGACCUGCCUCUGUGUCUAUGGAGCCUCUGUUCGUAUUCCAAAGUUUUAUCCCACAGAAAGCAGCUCCUGCGAAGGCCAGUGUGACACCUCAGUGACCAACAGGGGGUCCACACGAUCCACAGAUUUAAAGCCGGAUCCAUCUGACCCUGAGCCGGUGACACAUUUGACGUUGGACGAGAAUGCAAAUGUGGGAACAUCGAACAGAAUAAACCUGCCUGAGUUUCAUACUCUCCAUUAUAAAGAGGCACAAUCAAGCUUUGCAUCUUCCACUGAACCUCCAAACACUCCGACUUCCUUGUGGAACCAGAAAGAGACCUCACACACUCUUAUCCCUCCUUUAGUGUUUGUCUCCCCUCAGCCGUCUUCACCUUUGGUUAGUUGGAGUCGUGAUGGCGUUACAGCGUCUUUAGUCCCAGACACUUUCAUACCUGAAAUGGGACCGAGCCUGAUGCUGAGAGAGGAAGGCCUGGAGAGCCUGUGGACGGAGGCAACCAGACCUGAUGGAGACACAGAGGUCCCGCUGUCUGAAGAUGAAGCCACAGAGGCCACCAUGUCCUCCGAAGCGCUCCCUCUCAUCUUUGAGCCUUUUGAAGAUGCCACGGCAGAGGACGCUGCAGCCGUCACCCUGGCUCAGCCAUCGGUCGUCAUGGCAACCGGUGAGAUGCCUCUGUCGCAAGCAGACCCAAAUCUGUUGGUCACCAUGAAGACGGACAGCCACGGCCUCGUACGUCACAGCCCUGCAUCACUGCCAGACUGGACAUCACCGUGGCAGACGUCUGGUGCUGAGCUGCAGGAGCCGAUUGGAGCUCAGGUGAAGGGACGUCACAAAGAAGCGGCUGCGACAAUACAAAAGACUAAAAUGAGCCUAUCCUUAAACCGUCCCUCCACCUCAUCUUUUCUGUACGCUGUGACAUCGGUCACCAUGACAACCCAUCAGCACAAAACUCGGUCGGGGUUAGAGGAAUUGGAAUCUGAAGGUAAGGAACGGUUUACUGACAACAAUGUAUCGCUAAAUCUUAUUGUCUCACACGUGAAGUAG
rnacentral:lncRNA from 1 species